GAUGAACGCUGGCUACAGGCUUAACACAUGCAAGUCGAGGGGAAACGGCAUUGAGUGCUUGCACUGAAUGGACGUCGACCGGCGCACGGGUGAGUAACGCGUAUCCAACCUUCCCGUUACUGCGGGAUAACCUGCCGAAAGGCAGACUAAUACCGCAUGUUCUUCGAUGACGGCAUCAGAUUCGAAGCAAAGAUCCGUCGGUAACGGAGGGGGAUGCGUCUGAUUAGCUAGUUGGCGGGGCGACGGCCCACCAAGGCGACGAUCAGUAGGGGUUCUGAGAGGAAGGUCCCCCACAUUGGAACUGAGACACGGUCCAAACUCCUACGGGAGGCAGCAGUGAGGAAUAGUGGUCAAGGGGCGGAAGCCUGAACCAGCCAAGUAGCGUGCAGGAUGACGGCCCUACGGGUUGUAAACUGCUUUUAUGCGGGGAUAAAGUGAGGGACGCGUCCCUUUUUGCAGGUACCGCAUGAAUAAGGACCGGCUAAUUCCGUG
rnacentral:rRNA from 1 species